GUUCUAGGCAGACGCUGUUUCCGUGCCCAGCAACCCUUGCGGCAUCCUUACUCUACAAUCAACCGUUUGUGACCUUCCUUUCCUGGGGUUUCCCUGACUUUGAAGAUGCUGGCUAAUAUUUCGAAGUUGUGGAGUAUCUAUAAACCUGCAAAGGAAUAUCAUCCUCUCGUGGUUUCUGUGAUCUUAACAGGAUACCUUUUUUACAAAAUUGAAUUUGGAGGUGAACAUUCAGCAGAAAGAAGAGCAGCAGAAAAAAAGAGGAGGAGAACCAGGCCUCAGCAUCAUUAAAACUUGCAAUCUUCAGUAUGAAUUUUUGAACUGUCAUCCUAGUUGUCAACAAGCUGAGCUACAUCAUGGGAAACUAAGUGUUCUGUAAGCAGUGUGCAUCAUUAGCACAAUGGUAAUCUGCCAUCUGUCAUGGAGUGAAUAAAUGUGGUGUUCAAGAAG